rnacentral:lncRNA from 1 species
AUUCAGUUGGGACUGAGAUAGUUCAGACUCAGCAACUUGAGAAAGAACUGAAAGGACAAGUGGAUGAGAUCAGGGCCUGUGAGCAGCAGGCCGUUGAGGAGCUGAAGAAGAGGAAGAAAAGUCGGGAUGCUAAUGUGGUGAGGUUGGAGGUAGAGGUGGAGGUGGCCAAGCUGAAGAACAAAGAAGCUUUUUCCAAGAAGUCUGCUAUCGAGGAGUAUAAGUCCUCGGAUGACUUCCAGGGUGAAGUUAUGACUUCCAAGUACUUCAAUGAGAGCUUCGACUUUUGUAAAAGGCAAAUUGGCCAUCUCUAUCCUGACCUUGACAUCCAAGACAUGGGAAUUGAUGCCGAGCUGCUAGAGGAGGAGGAGGAGGAAGAGGAGGAAAAAGAUAAGUAAGAGGAGAAGGAGGGCGAUCCAAACAAUAGCCCCGCUCCUCAAUAGAUACUCUAAUGUACACUUUUUUUAAUGGCAAGAUGUUACCCUUCAAAUUUCAAUGAAUGAAAAGUACUUUCUCAUUCAUGUUCCCUACUUGCCUUCUUGAUUUCUUAGCGUAGUAUUUGCUUACAUUGGCGAUAUCACAUGUCAUGAGAUUGGCGAGACCAACUCGGGCGAACAAAAUUUAAUAAGAUGGCGACCAGAACCAUCAUGUAACAUAUUAAGUUUAAUUCACCUCAAACAGGCAAACAACAAACUUCAACUAUGGUGAUUAAUUAACUUGGUGAUCUUGAUUAAUAGGCGAACAAGAUCAGUUUAAGGUGACUUAACUUGGCCAAACAUUAAACUUUAUCAUGGCGAUAUGAAUAAUCAAUCAUUUUAACAUUGGCAAUCAAGAUACUAGAGAUAACAAAUAACUUGUUUUGACGAUAAAAAAAAAUUGUAAUCUGCUUAUAUGGCAAAAUAGGUGACAUCAUGAUGAAUAACAUUUGAAAUUGGCUACAUAACCCAUGUGACGAUUUAAUGAUAUUAGACUAGAGAAAGUUACAUAGGUUUUUGACGAUCAUAAUGAGAUUUUUUACAAAAAUAUGACUUUGGCAACAUCACAUUGCAUAGGCAAUCUUCUUCAAGUGGCGAACAUAGAGAUAAUAUUUCUUCAAGUGUUCAGCAUUCCAGGGUUGAGGUAGUGUCUUCCUGCUCAUGUCUUCCAGCCAAUAAGUUCUUAGCUUAGACACCUUGACAACUUUGUAAGAACCUUCCCAUGUAGAGCCAAUCUUCUUAGCAUUAAGCUUCUUUGUAGACAAAGUAACUUUCUUCAAGACCAAGUCGCUAGACAAAAAUGACCUAUUCUUAACACUAUGGUUAUAGUAUUUGGCAACUUGAUGCUAGUAGGCAGCUUGACGUACCUCAGCUCUCUCUCUCUCUUUUCAUCAAAGAGAUAAGGUUAUGCUUUAGCUCAGCUUUAUUGUUCUCUUUGUCGAAAUUUGAGGUCCUGAAACUUGGCAUUCCUAUCUCCAUUGGUAUAAUUGAUUCUGUCCCUACACUAAGGAGUAUGGCGUUUCUCUCGUAGGGAAUCUAUUCAUCGUGUGGUAGGCCCAUAGCACACUUAGAAGAUCUUUUGUCCAUUCGCAAUUGGAUUUUCCUAACCUCGCCUUCAGAUUCCUCAGGAUUAUUCUGUUGGUGAUUUUCUAUUGACCAUUCUCUGAGGAUGAACUGGCGAAGGUAAAUGGUAGGGGAUGGGGAUGGCGAUGUCCGAGCAGAAUCGUUUGAACCCAUCAUUGUCAAAUUGUCUUGCGUUGUCUGAGAUAAUAACCUUUGGAAUCGCAAAUCAAUAAUCGAUAUUAUUCCAAACAAAAUUCUUGGUGUUCUUCUCAAUGAUUUUGGCGAAAGGCUCUGUCUCUAUCCACUUUGUGAAGUAAUCUAUGGUGACAAUCAAGAACUUUCUUUAUAAUGAAGCUUAAGGUAGAGAGUCCGAUUAUAUCAAUUUUCCACUAAGUGAAUAGCCAUGGGUUGGUCAUUGGCACCAUCUCGAUAUAAGGGACAUGACUUACUAGAGCAAACCUUUGGCAAUUGUCACAUUUUCUAGUGAAAGUUAUUGUAUCUCAUUCCAUAUUUGUCCAAAAAUAUCCUUGUUAGAUUGUUUUUCUAACCAGUGAUCUCGCUCCUGAAUGGUUUCUAUAAAUACCUUCAUGAAUUUUCCUAAGCAUGUAAUGUGUUUCCUCAAUAGGAGACACCUCAAGAGUGGUGUUGAAAAAGAUCUCUUGUAUAAAAUACCAUAGUGGAGGCAAAAUAUGGCUUAUCGAUACUGGAUCUGUCAUGCUUGGAGCUUGUCUGAUGGCAGCGUCCCCUCUUUGAGAUAUGCAACGAGGUCAUCCAUCCACGUCGAUGCUAUUAUCGCUUGACAUAUAAUUUUAGCAACGUCCAUACUCGGGCCUAGCAAUAAUACUAGAGGGAUACUCCUAUCCAAGAAGAAAUCGAAGGUUAAAGCUAGGUUGAUUAAGGCAUUAGCCUUCUUGUUCUCUUCUCUAGGAAUUUGGCGAAUAUUGAGAUCUUUGAUCUUUAUCUAUAUAGCCUUCACCUUAUCCAAAUAAGAAAUCAUUUGGAGAUCCUAGGCGAGGUAAUCCCAUUGGACUUGAUUUACCACAAGCUACGAAUCACUAUAAACAUCUAAAGAUUGCACUCCCAAUUCUAUUGCGAUUCUCAAUUCGAUGAGGAGGGCCUCAUAUUCUGCCUCAUUAUUGGUAGCAUUGAGUCCAAUACGUAUUACGUAUUCCAUUUGCUCUCUUGAAGGGUUUUGGAAGACAAGUCCUACACCACAACCAUGCUGGUUGGAUGACCUAUCUAUGAACAACUUCCAUCUAGCAAGGACAUCACCUUGGUCUUGCUCUUCAGGGGCUCCACCUCAGGGUUUAAAGAUGCAUCAUACAUGAACUCAACUAUAAAAUUGGCAAAUGCUUAAUCUUUGAUUGCCAUUCUUGGUCAGUAACUUAUGUAAAAUUCGCUCAACUCAAUAAACCAUUUGAGUAAUCGCCCUAAGGUAUCAGGUCAUUGGAGAAUCUACUUCAAGGGCUGAUCCGUUAAUACAACAAUGGGAUGAGCCUAGAAAUAAUGGUGAAAUUUUCUCGCAGUGAUUAGAAGGGCAUAUGCGAGCUUUUCAAUCUUCAAAUAUCUGGUCUCAAUUCUUAUGAGGACUUUGUUGACAUAGUAUAUGGGCUUCUAAACUUUAUCUUCCUCCUUGAUAAGCACCGCACUUACCACAAGUAGGUGACACAGAUAGAUAUAGGAUAAGUUCCUCACCCAUGCCAGGAACCGUGAGCAAAGAAGGUGACCAAAGAUACUCUUUAAGUUGCUGGAAUGCCACCUCGGAUUCAUUUGUCCACUCAAAGGCUUUGUUCCUCAGAAUUUUAAAGAAUAGAAAGCACUUAUCUACCGACUUUGAGACAAAUCUGUUAAGGCCGGCUACUCACCUAGUUAGUUGUUGCACUUCGUGUGUAUUUCUUGGCGAGCUCAUUGCGAAUAGGGCUUGAAUCUGGUCUAUUUUGCCUCAAUCCCAUGCUUAGUCACUAGGAAACCAUGGAAUUUACCUGAUGAUAUGCCAAAGUUGCACUUGAAGAGGUUAAGCAUCAUGCGGUGUUUUCACAAGAUACCAAAGUUUCAUCUAAGUAGGCGAUGUGAUCAGUUGCUCUCAGGCUUUUGACCGGUAUGUUGUUUAUGUAAACCUUCAUAGUUUUCCCAAUCAUCUCACUAAACAUCUUAUUGACCAAUUUUUGAUACGUCGCUCCAGCAUUCUUCAAUCCAAAUGGCAUAACCUUGUAGCAAUACAUUCCUCUUUCAUUGAUAAGGAAGUCUUCUCUACAUCGAGAUGAUGCAUUUUGAUAUGAUGAUACCUUAAGAAGGCGUCCAUGAAGCUAGGAAUUUUGUGUCUAGAGGUUGCAUCUAUGAUCAGAUUAAUCUUUGGAAGAGGAAAAUUGACUUUGGGACAAGCCUUAUUCAGGUCGGUAAAAUUAAAACAUACUCUCCACUUGCCUCCUUUUUUAGGGGCGACAACGAUGUUAGCCAACCGAUAUGGAUAAUGGAAUUCUCUGAUAACAUUGGCCUUGAUGAGCUUGGCCACCUCCUCUUUUAUGACCUUCAGUCACUUGGGAGCAAGCUUUCCUCCUUUUUUGGAGAAUUAGAGGAUGGUCAGAGUCAAUGAACAACUUGUGGACGGGGAUCUGGGGUCUAUUCCUAGGACAUCGCCUUAUGACUGUCAUAAUUCUUCUUAAAAAAUUCCACCAAGGCAUUUCCCAGUUCUUCAGUCAAUUCGAUAUCGAUCAUGACAUGGUGAUCUGGGUAGUCGGGGUGUAUAGAAAUAGGGGUCACUUCUUCUAAAGGCUUGGUGUUCUCCAUUUCUCGAGGUCAAUAAGAGUUAUUUUUUCCACUUCCUCCCUUAACACCUCCAUCUCAGCAUUGUUUAUUUCUAAUUGCUAUUUGGUGCUUAGUGUUAAAGGUGGAUCAAUAUUCAUUGCCAUAAGGAAGCAUUAUAUAUCACCUAGCCUAUCCCAAUUAAAGUGGAAAACUUCAUCAUCAUGUGAAAGGUAGACGUGAUGGCCUUACUUUUCCCAUAGUGGGAUGACCUAAAAUUGCAUUAUAAGGUGAAGGGUAAUCCACUAUAACAAAGUCCUACCAAGUUGUAGUCUGAUGAGGUUCCACCCCUAAGGUCAAUGGCAAUUUGAUCCAUCUUAGGGGCUAAUGGUGUUUCCUCCAAAUCUAACUAGAGGGGUGUGAAAUGAGUGAAGUCUAUAUUAACCUAUCUUCAUCUUAUCAAAUGCCGAGAUGAAUAGAAUAUCAACAAAACUAUCCUCUGAACGAUGAAAUUGGUGAUAGUACCCAAGAUGACCAAUGUGUCAUCAUAGAGAGAUGCAAGCCUCUCAGGUCGUCGUUGGUAAAGGUGAUGGGCUAGUGAGCUCCAACCACAGGUGUGGAGAGGUUGUAAACUUCUUCUUCAGCUUGCCUACUAGCUUCUCUGGCAAGUCUCUUCUGGGAUGAGCUUGAGUAUCCCCUUAAUGCAAAUCCUCAAUUAAUAGUUUGAAUAUCACCUAUUAUUGGCCUAUAAUAAACAUAUCCACUUUCAAGCAAGCCUGGGUGCGGGCGGUCAGCUACGUAUUUUCUCAGAUACCCUCUCUUGAUCAGGUCAGUUAUCUGCAUCUUUAGUUGAAAAAAAAUCCUCGGUGUUAUGUCCAUGGUCCCUAUAAAAUUCACAUACUUGUUUUUGUUUCUCCUGAGGGGGUAGGUCUUAAUUUUACCUAGCCACUUUAAAAAUUUCUCAUAUUUGAUCUCCAUGAGCACCUAGGCUAUAGAAGCGCUGAGAUAAGGCAACAUUAGGUUGGAUUGGCGAGGUGGCGUAUAGGGAUGUUGAUCGUUAGUUCUCCUAGUAUAUCGAUCUGACCUCUUGCUUUUCAUCUCGUCCCUAUAGUCUGCUCGCCGAGUAUCAGGCUUCUUUCUCUUGUGAUCAUUCCUUCCUCAUCUUUUACGCUGGGCCUCGGCUAACUCUAACCCUUUUGCCAGAAUAUACUUGUCAGCCUUGGUUUAGAGUGUUAAUAAGGUUUUAGGGACAUUAUUAGAGAGGGAAUCGAAUAAAGGACCAUGUCGAAGUCCCUCCAUCAUUGCCAUGAUCACCACUUUAUCAUUGGGGUCUUCUACCUCUGAAGCAGCCUGAUUGAACUGCUUAACAUAGUGUUUUAAGAUCUCCCCUUCUUUUCGGUAAAUUGUGAAGAGGUGAGAGGUAUUUUUCUGCCUGACCCUAAAGCUCAUAAAAUUGGCGACAAAAAGUCUACUCAAGUUGCCAAACGAACCAAUGGUUAUCGGAGACAACUUUAUAAACCAUGAUCUCGCCGACCCCUUCAAAGUUGCUGAAAAUGCCUUGCACAUUAACUCGUUUGGGUACCCUUGGAGCGUCAUCAAGUUCUUAUACGAGUCUAGGUAGUCCAUCGGAUCUGUAUUCCCUUCAUACACCUCAAGAUGGGAUGACAGCUUGAAUUUGGAUUACACCUUGACUUUCAUCACCCUAUUAAUUAGACUACAUAAGUGUAGUCUAUGGUAGCUAAAAUAGCCUUUGUUAGUCAUAGAUUAGGGCUAAUUAUGUUUCUUCACUAUAUACUGUAUAUAACCUCGUCUUUGAUCUUAUUGUAGGUAUUUGAAGCUAUAGAAAUGGUUUUGGAGCCAAAGACGUGAGCCGAAGUGCAGACAUAGCUUGGUGAGAAUGUUGUCAGGGCCUUGUCUCAGAAAAUGUGCAAGUUCUUGAUCAUAGAUUGUAAUAAAAUUAAUCAUUACACCGUUGGAAAGCUCUCUCCAAGAUACUCAUGUUUACAUAUGAUGAGCAUCACCGAAUUCCGACUCCAAAGACCUCAAAUUAGUUGAAAGAAAAGGAGGCAAAAAAGUGAAAUAUCGUUUAAAUGUCCAAGCAAAUGUUAAAUCGCCAAGAGGAAAGGCAGAAGAUGGAGUUUAGCCGGGCAUUCGAACUCCAAUACAGAUAGUUUAAACUUCUUAAGAGCAUGAAAUGGGAUUUUAUCCCGGCGUUCAAAUGCCAAGACAGAGAGUUCGAACGCCGAAUGCCAAGGCCAUUUCUGGGAAAAUUUUAUUGUUCGAACCUUGAGCCUAUAAAUGCAAACCCUCAUUCUAUUUUGCAGGAGUCAAAAAGUAGCCUCUUUUAGGAUUUGUUUUAUGUUUUUUGCUCAGAAUAACUUGGAUUUAUGUAAUUAUUUCUCUCUUAACAUUGUAAUCACUUAGAUUUAAAUUUUCAAUAUAAGUCUUCACAUUUCCUUGCAUUCAAUAUGAGAUUUCUCUUGUUUCUUUGCAUCAAAUCAAUAUUUUUAGUUUUAUUUCAAGUAUUUCAAAAUUGUUCAUAGAUGGGGAUGAUUAGCUAAACUCUCCAAUCUCGGAAUUGAAUGUGAAGACCGAUUGAAGGUUUUGGAUGAAUAAGGGAGAUGAGAUUUUGGGUUUCAAAGUUCAAAUUUUUAGUUUUUAUCAUUCUUUAUCUUCAUUAUUCUAGGAAUUAUUGAAAACUUAGAUGAUUGAUUAUGUACGACAAAGCUUAUGCAUGAGCUUAAUAUCAAUAUAGGAAUUAUGCGAAUCGAUGGUAUUCAUCCUCGAAUCUAACAACCUGAUUUAACCUUAAAAUUGAAGUUUUUAAAGAAAAAAGGGUUUUAUUGCUAUCCGAGACUCACGACUAAGUCGAAAGAUUUGAGUUACAAACUCAUCACCCUUGAAAAUCCGAGAAACGAAAUCGGUUGGAACGAUCAAUCCCGAGACCUUUCCGCAUUAAUUUACAAUCAACGUUUUUCAAUUUAUUUAAUUUUAGUAGUUAGUUGGCUUAGAUAAUCAAACCAUUUCCAAAACUAUCAGAUUUUUAUGUUCUUUUUAAAAGCAUUAUGUUCGUACUUUGUGAGCAAUAAAGAGGGUCAUUCUAGUCCUUUCAAUCUUGUUCAUACAGCUCCUUAUGGGAUCGAUAUUGUACUCUGAGCUAUACUACUAUGUCGGCCUUUUCUUAGGGUUUAUCUCAAGUGCACAUUUGGUGAGAGAUCACCUA